GAUCAGUAAGUUAAGUGAUGGCCUCACAAGAAUUACUUAUUUAUAUCUAUUUAUAAAUUAAACCAUGUAAUUCUGCCCAAACGGAGGCUUAACCUUCUAUGGAAAGUAUUGCCAAGACUACUUCAAAAUUUUAGGGGCCAUAUAGAUUAGGCUAUUGUCAAUGCAAAAUGGAAUUUUGAAGUUAUCUAUUUGAAAACAGAUUUAUAUCAUUGUUUUUGGUGCAAGGGUAGAUUAAAUUUGAUAUAUGUGGAUGUGAUUUAGGUACCUCCUUCUACAGUUCAUUAAGUUACAUUUGGUGAUUCUUUUAGUGCACUCUCUCAAGUCAAGCCUUACUUGUGUCGAUAACCUUUUGGAUCGUGGGGGGGGGGGGCGGCAUGGCUAAGAAUAACAAGAUGAGGUCCAUAUUGUUUUCGAAAUGGACAAAGACUUAUCAACUACUACAACUUUACUUCCCUUAACAUCUAAGCUUCCCUUCAUCCACACAAAAAACUUCUCGAAUCUCUUCCCUCUUCUCUCUCUCCCACUAGCCUUACGGGGGGGACGAUGGUUCGUCUCCGUCAUCAAUCAAAAGAAAUCUCAUCUGUCCAUAUUGAGCACGAGGUCUCUCAACUGUCAAAUUGAGAUCAACUCAUCUUUAGUCUUUUUCGACCUUGAGUUGCCACUGACCUUGAGGUCUAGACAAGUCCAACUAGUCAGAUCCUUACCAACUCUUCCACCUUAUAGUCGCACAAAUAAUUCUCUGCAAAUUUUACUGAGAGUACAGAUUUUGGACAUGGGAUCUGUUGGGAAUCAAAAUCUUUCGACUCCUUAUGAUAAUUCUAAGGAGUGUUCACAAGGGAAUUGCAGUAUAAAUUGUCCACGAUGGUGUUACUUUAACUUCCCUCCUCCUCCGUUAGAUGAUGAUUCAGGUACCCAUUUUUCCCCACUAAUCAUCGCCAUCAUAGCAAUCCUGGCAGUUGGUUUCCUUGUAGUAAGCUACUAUAUGAUAGUAAAACGGUAUUGCCGGAGAAGAAAUGAUCCAAACACGAGUAUCGAAACCCAAGAGAUUCUUGAUGGACUGACUCGUGAUCAGAUGGCCGGUGCCUCGACUGGAUUGGAUGAGGCACUUAUUAAGACCAUCACAGUCUUUAAGUACAAGAAAGGCGAUGGCCUAAUUGAUGGGGCUGAAUGUGUAGUUUGUUUGAAUGAAUUUCAAGAAAAUGAGUCUCUUAGACUAAUGCCAAAUUGUAUGCAUGGUUUUCACCUUCCUUGUAUCGAUCCAUGGUUGAAAUCUCACCCGAGUUGUCCUAUUUGUCGUGUCGAUGUUAACUUGACCUAUCCGUUGCCUCCACCUGCCCGGAAUUCUCAAACUCCAUCGACUGUCAACGUGGCUUCUCUGGAGAUUCAGAGGCCGGAUGAUUUGAUUUUAGUGGUGGAUGAUCACGAGAGGGAUCGUUCAGAAGAGGUGGUUCCAAGUGUAGUCGAUAAUGAUGUUCGACCGAAGAGCCCCCUGCGAAAUGUUAGUACUGCACAAGAUUCUGAAACAAGAAUUGACAUUAUCGGAACUCCCGAAAAGGAUGUUAAGAAAUUUAGCAGAUCGAUUUCUCCGGGUGCAUUUUCGAGCCAACGCCAGCGCUGAUAUUCCGAGGAUUGAAGAAGCAUAUGAAGGAUUACAAAUGGAAAGUUCCUUAAGAAGAAGAAUAGCAUGGAAUGAGAACUAGCAAGAAGACCUGUUACAAUGAGAAGAUCCAUUUCUACUGGAAGAUUCAUAUUCCAUAAUAAAGGCAAGAAUUCUAUAAUCCCACAUUGAACAUAAAAAUAUUGUAAAGACAAUUUCUUUACUUCAUACCAACUUUACCUCUUUAGUCCUUUAUCUAUUUAUGUUUAGCACAGUAGGAAAGAAACAUGUGAUCUUUGAGUUUGAUACUUGUGAUGCCUAAUAUGGGAUUGAGUGGAAAAUGAAACAGAAUUUGUCAUUUAUUAGUGGAAAAAUUGUGUGAACAACUUGCUUGAAGAAUACCAGAAUGUGCCAGCAAAAAUAGAGGCACCUCGAUCAGUAAGUUAAGUGAUGGCCUCACAAGAAUUACUUAUUUAUAUCUAUUUAUAAAUUAAACCAUGUAAUUCUGCCCAAACGGAGGCUUAACCUUCUAUGGAAAGUAUUGCCAAGACUACUUCAAAAUUUUAGGGGCCAUAUAGAUUAGGCUAUUGUCAAUGCAAAAUGGAAUUUUGAAGUUAUCUAUUUGAAAACAGAUUUAUAUCAUUGUUUUUGGUGCAAGG
rnacentral:lncRNA from 1 species